UAUAUAAUGAGUGAAUUUAUAAAAUGAGGCACUAAUCUCAAAACACUUGGUUAAUUAGGAAAAUGGCUACCACUUUGUUUCUGGCUUUUCUUUGUUUUUCUCAAGUUAUCUACUUGAAUGCCAUCCCAAUUACAAGAUGCAAUAAUUUGGUGUACAAAGCUCAACAACAUGAGAACACACAAACAAUGGAGAAUAUGGAGGCCGAGAGUAUGAAACUAGGUAAUGUUGUCAUUAGAAGAAUUGAUGCUGAGGUCAAUGACUAUCCAAGUUCUGGAGCGAAUAAUCGCCACACUCCGAGCCACCCCUAGAGAUAUAUGUAUGUAUUUAGAGGCGGAUUUGGGAUGUCAAGCUAAGAUCGAUGCGUUCGCUCACGAUCCGGCCUCAGGCUAUUUGUGUGUUAGUAAUAAGUAGUGAUAGAUAUGUGUGCUUUAGAUGUUUAGGACUAUUAUGUUAUUAUGGAAAUCUAAUAAUUAAAUGGAUUCAUCUUUUGUCACGA